rnacentral:rRNA from 1 species
UACGUAGGGUGCGAGCGUUUAAUCGGAAUUACUGGGCGUAAAGCGUGCGUAGGCGGUUCGUUAAGUCUGUUGUGAAAGCCCCGGGCUCAACCUGGGAAUGGCAAUGGAUACUGGCGAGCUAGAGUGUGUCAGAGGAUGGUGGAAUUCCCGGUGUAGCGGUGAAAUGCGUAGAGAUCGGGAGGAACAUCAGUGGCGGAAGGCGGCCAUCUGGGACAACACUGACGCUGAGGCACGAAAGCGUGGGGAGCAAACAGG